UUUUCUUGACUUUUGAAUCAUAUCUUCUAGCUGCUCUUCUUUUACAAGCCUCCUCUUUCACAUGUGCUCGAUUUCGAACUUCAUCCUGGAGGUCUAAAUUGGCCUGCAGGUUAAUAGAAUUCUCUUCCAAACGAGCAAAAAGGACUCUCGCACUAGGUUCAUUGAUCUCGAUUGGAAUCAUAGCAUCUGAUCCAUACACCAUUUUGAAUGGAG
rnacentral:lncRNA from 1 species